rnacentral:rRNA from 1 species
UACGUAGGGUGCAGGCGUUAAUCGGAAUUACUGGGCGUAAAGCGUGCGCAGGCGGUUUCUUAAGUCAGAUGUGAAAGCCCCGGGCUUAACCUGGGAACUGCGUUUGAAACUGGGAGACUUGAGUGUCGCAGAGGGGGUGGAAUUCCACGUGUAGCAGUGAAAUGCGUAGAUAUGUGGAGGAACACCGAUGGCGAAGGCAGCCCCCUGGGUUAACACUGACGCUCAUGCACGAAAGCGUGGGGAGCAAACAGG